AGAAUCCUCCGUUACUGACGGAAUCAAGGUGGGGGACCACCGGGGAGCGGGGGACUAUAUCGGAUCUGUCGACCGUCUGGGCACCGCGC
rnacentral:ncRNA from 2 species